GGAAAUGUAGCUUGCUACAGCCGGUGCUAGGGCGGCAUGUGUGAUAAUUGAUGGGUAGUGCCAACGUGGUGAGAGCUGUGCUUGUUGCAGCAGUGCUGAUGCCGUGGGAGCUAUGCUUGUCAGAGCACGGGAGGCAGGACGCUGGGGCUCAUAACCUUUUGAAGAGACGGUGUCUCCCUGGAACCUAGCAGACAUGGUGAAGAGUC
rnacentral:lncRNA from 1 species